UCCCUGGUGGUCCAGUGGCUAAGACUCUGCACUCCCAGUGCAGGGGGCCCAGGUUCAAUCCCUUAUCAGGAAA
rnacentral:tRNA from 1 species